GGCGAUGGAUAAGGCAGAGAACAGAGCAUGUUCUUGUUGCAAGAAGCAGGGCUCUUAUGAUGGCCUGAAGGACCUGGGAAGAACACUAAUAUGGAUGGGGAAACACCGAGACUCUUGACUCUGCUGUGGCUUAUCUGUAUUUCUACCAGUUUUUAAUUCCUGUUUCAUUUGAAGCGUUGGGAAAUGUUGUUCUGAGGAGGAGUCCAUAGGCUUCACCCUGAACGUAGUCACAGCACAAACGAGUGACGAACACAGGCUGAAAUGGAAGGGGGAGACCGACAGGAGGAGGAAGCAGCAUCCACCCAGGAUGUUGUAACAGUGCAGGAUGAGAGGACAUCUGUAUUGCAAAUGAGGGUGAUUCAGUAGAGAUGGAGGCGACUGGUAACGUAAGAACCGGGAGAACUGCUGAAGCUGCAGGUGCUAAGCGGGUGCAGCGCCCCCAGACAACCAAAAUUGCACAAGUAAAGAUGACACAAGAGAGCGACAUCAUUGCCCUGUACACUAGAGGUGAGCUUGACCAGUCUGGUUCGUUCUCUCUGUCUGGUGCUCGUCAGUCAAGCAUGAAGAAGAGGAAAAUUGUCGGCAUACAUUGAAAGGUCACAGGACAGAAAGGAGGAAGUAGGGAUGUAAAGUACUGACUGAGCUGGUGGGACCCUCCUCAAGCUAAUGUCAACAGAGCUGUGUGUGGCGAGCAUCGCAGAGAAACCCAAUCGAGUCCGAUGUUUAGCAUAGCAGUGAGCCUGGUUCUAGGCUGAUGGAUUUGGGAGUAUGGCCAGCUGCCAGUACGCAGAGAAAUACAAGCAAACAAUACUCAUUCUAUAGCACUGUGAUGUCUGAUCUCAGUAGUUAACUCGACACACUGGAAAAGGGAGCCUCAACUGAGGACUGGUCUUCAACAUAUGGGCCUGUGAGCAUAUCUGUAGGGGCAUUUUCUUGAUGGCUAUUUGAGAAAGGCAGAACACUGUGAGAGGUGCCAUCCCUAGACAAACAUGCCAUAACUGUAUAGGAAAGCUAGCUGGGCCAGCUAGGGACAGCAAGUCAGUAAGCAACAUUCCUCCAUGGCUUCUGCUUCGGUUCCUGCCUCUGGGCUCUUGCCUUGUGUU